CCCUCAGAAUGACGUUCUCUUCAGCAUCCGAGAUUUGGCGCCGAGUCGUAUUAAUCACGCUGGAACUUUCGGUGACGUAACUGACUUCUAACGACCUCAUAACCGGGUUCGUAUUUAAUGUUCCAACGUGAUUAACCUCCGAGCGAUUGGUCUCGACACCCCCGAUUGCACCUCCCAUUGCAAGCACCCCAUUGGAAAGUCCUGGGUCUGGGGGUACAGCUGUCGGGGCAAUGGUGGUGCCCGUGGUGUUAGCCGGAGACAGCGGAGGUGGGAAUGCGUCUAAGAGCGGUGAGGUCAGUAGCUUCUCCGAUGAUGGGCGAUUGGUCGACUCAACGCAAUUAACCUCUGAAUUAUAGGUCUUGAUACUUCCGAUUGCUUCUCCCAUUGCAAGCACCCUAUUGGAGAGUCCUGGGUCUGGGGGUACAGCCGUCGGGGUGAUGGUGGAACUUGUGGUGUUAGCCGGAGACAGCGGUGGUUUUGGAUUAAUGAGCGGCG